rnacentral:lncRNA from 1 species
UUUUGGAUACAACUUCAAAAUUUUCAUUACAUUCUUAAAAAAGUAAAAAAUUUAUAUAAUAGUCUAUGACAAUGAAAUACUCACUAAUAACAAACAAAACCAUGUAUAUUAUUCGCCCUGAAUAUUCUAGCAGAAUAUAUUAUUACAUAUACUCCUAUCAUUCUAUUGUAGAUUAUUCUAUCAGAAGAAUAGCUCUUUCCUUUGUGAAGACCAAUGACAAUUGUUCAACCAUCAUCUAAUCUUCAAGCCCUUGAUCAUCAAUGAAAUUAGACAUUUUACGAAAAUAACUGCCAUGAAUCAAAUCAUGUAAUAAUAAUAUUCUCUGAGAAUGCUUUUACAUGGCAAAAAAAUACCACAAAAAUUUAGUAAAUCUGACAGAAUGAAUACCACAUGGUCGGGUCAGAUUAUUUUUCAGGAACUUCCACAAACACCUGUCAUGCAUCAUAAUAAGCUCUAUGACAAAUUUCACCAAAAUAUUGUUAAUUUGCAAAUUCUACAAGACCUGAAGUGAAAAUAACAUGAUUUGCAAGUAUGUAAGCUACCUUGCUUCUAUGAUUCAAUAGUAGGCUAGAAAACUUCAUAAUAUAUCUCAAUCAAAUCAUAUGCUACAAUCAUCUCCCCUUUCCCUAAAUACAUGUUCUAAGUGAUACAUCUUUUUUGGAUUUCUUACAUCUUUCUUCUUGCCCUAAUCACAGCCGAAACAAGACUUUCCAACACCAACUGACCAACAAACUGUAUUUUUUAGCCAUGCUUUACUUCAAGAUUUACAUUUUCAAGAGUUGGAUGUUCAAAACAGAAGAUUACACAAAUAAGAGAACCCACCAAAUAGAAGUAGUGAAUAUACUCAAAGUGAAUAAUUCUUGAAAUCCAUUUAACCUAUACCAUGUGUAUCUUUAUGAUUUUGACGAAGGAGUGAAAAUUAGAAACAUAGAAACAAAUAUGAUGACUUCUGGCAAGGAUCUGCGGGUCUGCGACAACAGAUGUUGGAGAACCAAGAAAUGGCAUACAUAAACCCAAACUGAAUAUUCGUUUAUUUCUUUUUCAGAAUACAUCGAUUUUGGUAUAAAAAUCUUCAAAAAGAACUAAAAUGAAAGAGCGACAAAGAAUUUGUAGAAAAACGUAUUAUCAUAAUCAAACCAAUUCUUUCUUACCUCCAACAAAUCCGAUUCUUUGUUAUUCUUCAUCAAUCUGAAACAGAAUAAAUAUAGUUUCCUUUAGAUAACUCUGAUUUCUCAUACGUUGAUAGGUCUAUUUUCCCCCUUCACACAUCACCAUCAGAUCAGGAAGAGGGCUUCACGGAUUCUUCCCACCUUCACUGCUUCGGCCUCGUCGAUUUCGGAGACGACCUCCUCGCAAAUCGAUCGACCAAAUGCGACCCUUUGCACUCCUUAUCGCGUUCGUGUUUCCCUCUCACUGUAUUCCAUUCGUCUGCAUUCUUCCAUCUUUGCCCGAUCUGUUAGUCAGGUGAUGAACACGGGGAAAUAAAGCCCUUCCUUUUGUUUCAGUUCAUUUUUUUAUGGAAGACAUCGAUGACGGCUGUAUAUAAGAAAAGAAAU